GACGAACGCUGGCGGCGUGCUUAACACAUGCAAGUCGAACGGAAAGGCCCUGCUUUUGUGGGGUGCUCGAGUGGCGAACGGGUGAGUAACACGUGAGUAACCUGCCCUUGACUUUGGGAUAACUUCAGGAAACUGGGGCUAAUACCGGAUAGGAGCUCCUGCUGCAUGGUGGGGGUUGGAAAGUUUCGGCGGUUGGGGAUGGACUCGCGGCUUAUCAGCUUGUUGGUGGGGUAGUGGCUUACCAAGGCAUUGACGGGUAGCCGGCCUGAGAGGGUGACCGGCCACAUUGGGACUGAGAUCCGGCCCAGACUCCUACGGGAGGCAGCAGUGGGGAAUAUUGCACAAUGGGCGGAAGCCUGAUGCAGCAACGCCGCGUGCGGGAUGACGGCCUUCGGGUUGUAAACCGCUUUCGCCUGUGACGAAGCGUGAGUGACGGUAAUGGGUAAAGAAGCACCGGCUAACUACGUG
rnacentral:rRNA from 1 species